CACACUGCAGCCUCCAGCCUGUACCUUCCUCCUGUCCUCUUCCCCUGGAAGAAGAUGGGUUUAACACAUCCCUCAUAUUCCUGGGAUAAAGCUGAGCAGGACACCACACCAUAGGCUUGGAAGGAGCCACCAGAGCAGCCAAAAUCUUCUACAGCACCAAGAGGUGCUCAGGAAAUGAGAUCCUCCUAGCGUGGGAAAGGCGCGGGCAGCCGGCGUCGGCCGCGGGGAUU
rnacentral:lncRNA from 1 species